rfam:Gorilla gorilla gorilla genomic chromosome, chr16, whole genome shotgun sequence
GUGCGACGGGCGGAGCUUCCAGACGCUCCGCCCCCACGUCGCAUGCGCCCCGGGAACGCGUGGGGCGGAGCUUCCGGAGGCCCCGCCCUGCUG